GACGUAGGGGGCCAGCGUUGUUCGGAAUUACUGGGUGUAAAGGGUUCGUAGGCGAUGCGGCAAGUUGGGAGUGAAAUCUCUGGGCUUAACCCAGAGGCUGCUUCCAAAACUGCUGUGCUUGAGUGUGGGAGAGGCGCGUGGAAUUGCAGGUGUAGCGGUGAAAUGCGUAGAUAUCAGGAGGAACACCGAUGGCGAAGGCAGGUCUCUGGGCCACUACUGACGCUGAGAAGCGAAAGCAUGGGGAGCGAACAGG
rnacentral:rRNA from 1 species